rnacentral:tRNA from 1 species
GCCACGGUCGCAUAAUCUGGUAGUGCGCCAGCCUUGAGAGCUGGUUUCCGCAAGGAUAUCUCGGUUCAAAUCCGAGCCGUGGCG